AUUGAACGCUGGCGGUAUGCUUUACACAUGCAAGUCGAACGGUAGUCCUUCGGGAUGAGAGUGGCGAACGGGUGAGUAAUAUAUCGGAACAUAACCGUAAGUGGGGGAUAACGUAGAGAAAUUUACGCUAAUACCGCAUAUUCCCUGAGGGGGAAAGGAGGGGAUCGCAAGACCUUUCGCUAACGGAGUGGCCGAUAUCGGAUUAGCUAGUAGGUGAGGUAAAGGCUCACCUAGGCUACGAUCCGUAGCGGGUCUGAGAGGAUAAUCCGCCACACUGGAACUGAGACACGGUCCAGACUCCUACGGGAGGCAGCAGUGGGGAAUUUUGGACAAUGGGCGAAAGCCUGAUCCAGCCAUACCGCGUGAGUGAAGAAGGCCUUCGGGUUGUAAAGCUCUUUCGGACAGAAAGAAAUCCUAUUCGCUAAUACCGAAUGGGGAUGACGGUACUGUAAGAAGAAGCACCGGCUAACUACGUGCCAGCAGCCGCGGUAAGAC
rnacentral:rRNA from 1 species